AUUGAACGCUGGCGGCAUGCCUUACACAUGCAAGUCGAACGGUAACAGGUCUUCGGACGCUGACGAGUGGCGAACGGGUGAGUAAUACAUCGGAACGUGCCUAGUAGUGGGGGAUAACUACUCGAAAGAGUGGCUGAUACCGCAUGAGAUCUACGGAUGAAAGCAGGGGAUCGCAAGACCUUGUGCUACUAGAGCGGCCGAUGGCAGAUUAGGUAGUUGGUGGGAUAAAAGCUUACCAAGCCGACGAUCUGUAGCUGGUCUGAGAGGACGAUCAGCCACACUGGGACUGAGACACGGCCCAGACUCCGACGGGAGGCAGCAGUGGGGAAUUUUGGACAAUGGGCGAAAGCCUGAUCCAGCAAUGCCGCGUGCAGGAUGAAGGCCUUCGGGUUGUAAACUGCUUUUGUACGGAACGAAAAGCCCUGGGUUAAUACCCUGGGGUCAUGACGGUACCGUAAGAAUAAGCACCGGCUAACUACGUGCCAGCCGCCGCCGUAA
rnacentral:rRNA from 1 species